GCCCCCAUGAAACUGAGUGUAAAUGCUGGCACAAGCUCCAGCUUCUCUGUAACAUCUGGCAUACAGCCCCAGUCCAGUCAACAAGUGUUGCUUCACCAAGUUUCAUCUCUGCCCCAGUAGCAAGAACAUGGCAUGCCAUGAUUUACAGGUCCAGGUUCAUCCAAGAAUUCCUGGCCCCUACAAGUCCUGUAAGACUGUAUUCAGAGCUGCAGCAAGGGUUGAGCCUUGGCUAGUCCACAAAGCAGAGGCAGCUGACACCUCAGGUGUUCUGCAGUAUCGCAUAAUCCUCAUGUCCUUCUCUGGAAACAUCUUACCCAGAAUGAUGACUUCUUUCUCAGCUGGAGAAUGGGCAGGUCGAGAAGAGAGGCUGUGUAGUAUAUUUUUGAAGUGGAGAUGCUGGCUAGGAAAGCUGUCCCAGCUGUCCCAGAAUGGCAGACCUUGGCUUAUUGAUUCCACAAAGAGUGGAAUUGCAGUGCACUCAAGGGAGGUUUUGCACUGUCAGCCAUCACUCUGACUACUCCCAGUGGGGCCGACUCCAUGCACGUGAGAGCAGCACCAUCAGAAGAGCUGGACACAGGUGGAAAGUAGACCUGUCAUGACCUCACCUGAUUCCUGGUUAUGGUGGAAAUAAGUGGCAGCAGGAGAGCGCUGCGCCUUCACUGAUCCUUGGGGCAAUCCUGCCAGUGUGGACUAAUGGGUGGAAACAACAAAUCUGUAAUUUUUGCUCAGGGUAGAAACAAAAGCUGAAGAAGCAGUUGCAAACUAAAGAUGUGCAAGUGCCUUUGGGCAGGCAGGGAAGGAAGGUGAAUAUCUACUUUAGCAAGUGAAAAGAGUGCCAGUUUACAGCUUUGCACACACUUUGCUGAUAGCGAGCCACAGAUGCUGUCCUGCCUGGCUCUGAAUCAUCAGUGGCCUCAGCUGACAACACAAGAAAAAUAGACAAAGACUUUUAACUGCAACAGAGUCAUUUUUCCA